rnacentral:rRNA from 1 species
CCUACGGGCGGCUGCAGUGGGGAAUAUUGGACAAUGGGGGGAACCCUGAUCCAGCCAUGCCGCGUGUGUGAAGAAGGCCCUCGGGUUGUAAAGCACUUUCAGUGAGGAAGAACGCCUGGUGGUUAAUACCCAUCAGGAAAGACAUCACUCACAGAAGAAGCACCGGCUAACUCCGUGCCAGCAGCCGCGGUAAUACGGAGGGUGCGAGCGUUAAUCGGAAUUACUGGGCGUAAAGCGCGCGUAGGUGGCUUGAUAAGCCGGUUGUGAAAGCCCCGGGCUCAACCCGGGAACGGCAUCCGGAACUGUCAAGCUAGAGUGCAGGAGAGGAAGGUAGAAUUCCCGGUGUAGCGGUGAAAUGCGUAGAGAUCGGGAGGAAUACCAGUGGCGAAGGCGGCCUUCUGGACUGACACUGACACUGAGGUGCGAAAGCGUGGGUAGCAAACAGGAUUAGAUACCCUGGUAGUC